rnacentral:misc_RNA from 1 species
UUUUUUUUUUUUUUUUAAAAAAAAAGUCAUUGGAUUUUCAAAUGGAAGAAAAGGGACAAAUUGGCAAUGAAGUUCACACGAUCCAGAAACACAAAUUCCAAUCUCGCACUAUUCUCCUCAAACAUUGAAUUACCAGAACAAACAAACCUCUGCCCUGUCUAAUAAAUGUAAUAACCCCUAUGCGACAAGUGUAUAUGCUUCAAGAUCCUAACAGGUCCUAUACGGGAUGGAACCUUCAAUCAUCGCCACAUCAGGCUUACAUGCACUGGCAACUAGUGUAGCAGAAACACAAAAAUGGCACAGAUCAGGUCAGGUUCUCCCAGAGGGAAAAACUCGAGCAUGAACUUCUCGGGUGCAGGUAUGUAAACUAGAGGC